AUUCUGUUUGAUGGCAGUUAGGAACACUGGCUGAUUGGAAAACAGGUUGGUUGUGGCACUAGCUGGGACUGGACUAUUUUUCUGGUUGCUCUGGCUGUGGGUUUCCCUAAGCUAAACAGACUACAAACCUGCUUUAUUUUCCACUAAGAAAAAUUCAAGAAGAGAGAAAGAAAGCUGAUUCCCAGGAAAAUCCUUGUGGCAGCAAAAUCUUAAGCUGGUCUUAAUAUUUAGCUUGGACUCCUUUCCCAGGCCAUCUUUGAUCUGAGAGAGAGAAUUUGAACCAUCCUAAAAGGUUUCCUGGUUCCUGUCUUCAGAAACCAUCAAGAAGAAGGCAAUGAGGAAAGACAAACGUUCACUUUGUGGACAUUUGAGAUUCUCCUCAUUGACAAGUAACUGGGAGGUCCAGAUAUUUUAGGUCUACCAAGGCCAAUCUGUUUGGAGGCAAGAUAUAUACAAAUAAGUGGCCUCUCAAGUUUCAGGUUUCAGCCAAGACUUGAAAGCAAAGUUCUGCAUACCUUGAGAAAAGUGUUUGCCAGAUUUCCAGCCCACUUUCAAGACCUUAAAAGGAUGCAGGGACAGAAGAGAAGGAAAAGGAAUUGUGGUAGUGAAAAGGAAAUGUAACCCAGAGAGG
rnacentral:lncRNA from 1 species